rnacentral:rRNA from 1 species
AUAAAAAAUAGCUCAAAAAAUAAAAAUAAAAUAAAAAAUUAAUAAAAAAUAAAAUAAAAAAUUAAUAAAAAUAAGUAUAAUUAUUAGAAAAUAUUAUUUUGAAGCUAAAUAAAAGUACUGUAAAGGAAAAUUGAAAAACUUAAAUAAAGAAUUUUUUAAAAGAAGAAAUUAAAACUCCUACCUUUUGUAUGAUGGUUUAACAACAAAAAAGAAAAAUAAUUCUAAACCCGAAACCAAGAGAUCUAAUGAAACCCCAACAUUUGGUUGUGGUAUAUAUUACUGUUGCAAAAGUAAAUAAAGAGGCUUCAUUAGCCAUGAAAAGUGAAACGAGCUUGGUGAUAGCUGGUUUUCCAUAAAAUGAGCUUAAGCUCAAGCUUUUAUUUAUAAUUUAAAAUAAUACUUUUAUAAAAAUAAAAAGCUAAACCAAAAGGGAUAAACUUUUUGGUUAAAGGAAAAAGCCUAUUUUUACAGUUAAAAUCAAAAAUUAAAAAAAGAAAUAAAAAUAUAGUAGGCCUAGAAGCAGCCACCAAAAAGAAAGCGUUAAAGCAUAUUAAAAAUAAAAACAAUAAUUUAUGAAAAAAAAAUUUUAACUUUUUUUCUAAUGGAAUAAUAACUACAAGUUAUAAAACAAUGUUAAAAUUAGUACUUAAAAUUAGUUAAAAAAAAUUAAACUAUUCUAACCAAAAAACUAAUGGAAGAAAGAAAAUAUUAAAAUAAACUAGAAAAAAAUUUUCUUAAAUAGUUUUAUUCAACACCGAAAACUAAAAACUAAAAAAAAUAAGAAGAAGGAACUCGGCAAACCAAAGCUUCGCCUGUUUACCAAAAACAUCGCUCUCUGUUAUAUUUUUAAAUAAAGAGUACUGCCUGCCCAGUGACAAAAGUUAAACGGCCGCGGUAUCUUGACCGUGCAAAGGUAGCAUAAUCAUUUGUUCUUUAAUUGAGGACUAGUAUGAAAGGCAAAACGAAAGCUUAACUGUCUCCUUCUUAAAAAAAGAAAUUCUUAUUUUCGUGAAGAAACGAAAAUAAAACCGUAAGACGAGAAGACCCUGUCGAGCUUAAGAAAAUUUUUAUAAGAAAAAAUAAACAGAUAAAACAUUAAAUUUACUAAAAAUCCAAAUAAAAACAUCUUUGGUUGGGGCAACCACGAAGAAAAAAUAACCUUUGAAAAUCAAAAAAAAUUUACAAAUUUAAAAAUUUUUAAUAAAAAAAAGAUCCAGAAAAUACUGAUCAAAGAAAAAAGUUACCGCAGGGAUAACAGCGUUAUUCUCUUUAAGAGUUCAUAUUGACGAGAGAGUUUGCGACCUCGAUGUUGGACCGGGACACCCAAGAGGUGCAGCAGCCUCUAAAGGUAGGUCUGUUCGACCUUUAAAGCCCUACGCGAUCUGAGUUCAGACCGACGCAAGUCAGGUCAGUUUCUAUCUACGAAAAAAGCAGCUUCAUUAGUACGAAAGGAAUUUGAAACUAGAAACAACUUUUCAAAAAGAAUUCUUAAAAACAAAUACUGAAAACAAAUAAAGAAACUACUU